rnacentral:rRNA from 1 species
CGGGGGGCAGCAGUGGGGAAUAUUGGACAAUGGGGGCAACCCUGAUCCAGCAAUGCCGCGUGUGUGAAGAAGGCCUGAGGGUUGUAAAGCACUUUCAGUGGGGAGGAGGGUUACUGGGUUAAGAGCUGAGUAAUUGGACGUUACCCACAGAAGAAGCACCGGCUAACUCCGUGCCAGCAGCCGCGGUAAUACGGAGGGUGCGAGCGUUAAUCGGAAUAACUGGGCGUAAAGGGUGCGUAGGUGGUUUAUUAAGUUGUUGGUGAAAUCUCCGGGCUUAACCUGGGGUUGACGAAUAAAACUGAUGAACUCGAGUAUAGGAGAGGGUAGUGGAAUUUCCGGUGUAGCGGUGAAAUGCGUAGAGAUCGGAAGGAACACCAGUUGCGAAGGCGGCUACCUGGCCUGGUACUGACACUGAGGCACGAAAGCGUGGGGAGCAAACAGGAUUAGAUACCCGAGU